rnacentral:rRNA from 1 species
UACGUAGGGUGCAAGCGUUGUCCGGAAUUAUUGGGCGUAAAGAGCUCGUAGGCGGUCUGUCGCGUCGGAUGUGAAAAUCCAGGGCUUAACCCUGGGCCUGCAUUCGAUACGGGCAGACUAGAGUUCGGUAGGGGAGACUGGAAUUCCUGGUGUAGCGGUGAAAUGCGCAGAUAUCAGGAGGAACACCUAUAGCGAAGGCAGCUCGCUGGGACGGUACUGACGCUGAGGCGCGAAAGCGUGGGGAGCGAACAGG